rnacentral:misc_RNA from 1 species
GUAUUUUGAAUUAGUUAUUCAUAAUAUUUUUCAGACUAAAGGUUAAGUUAAGUUGAUGUUUAGUUAUUCGCAAGGAAUAACUGACAUUGCACACAAGGUGGAUAUGGAUUUUAAAAAGUGCCAUAAAACACUUAUUAUGAAUGAUCCUUCCGCAGGUUCACCUACGGAAA